rnacentral:rRNA from 1 species
GGCGAGGCCGAGAGGCGUAGUCGAUGGGAAAUUGGUUAAUAUUCCAAUACUUCUGUGUAAUGCGAUGAGAGGACGGAGAAGGUUAAGUCAGCCUGGCGUUGGUUGUCCAGGUGGAAGGCAGUAGGCAUGCAUCUUAGGCAAAUCCGGGGUGCUCUAUGCUGAGAGCUGAUAGCAAGCUGUACUUGUACAGUGAAGUGGCUGAUACCAUGCUUCCAGGAAAAGUCUCUAAGCUUCAGUUACACAGGAAUCGUACCCGAAACCGACACAGGUGGUCAGGUCGAGUAGACCAAAGCGCUUGAGAGAACUCUGCUGAAGGAACUAGGCAAAAUGGUACCGUAACUUCGGGAGAAGGUACGCUGCUGACGGUGAUGGGACUUGCUCCCUGAGCUAUUGGCAGCCACAGAAACCAGGCCGCUGCAACUGUUUAUUAAAAACAUAGCACUCUGCAAACACGAAAGUGGACGUAUAGGGUGUGAUGCCUGCCCGGUGCUGGAAGGUUAAUUGAUGGGGUUAGCGUAAGCGAAGCUCUUGAUCGAAGCCCCAGUAAACGGCGGCCGUAACUAUAACGGUCCUAAGGUAGCGAAAUUCCUUGUCGGGUAAGUUCCGACCUGCACGAAUGGCAUAAUGAUGGCGGCGCUGUCUCCAGCAGAGGCUCAGUGAAAUCGAAAUCGCUGUGAAGAUGCAGUGUACCCGCGGCUAGACGGAAAGACCCCGUGAACCUUUACUGCAGCUUGACAUUGAACUUUGACCUUACUUGUGUAGGAUAGGUGGGAGGCUUUGAAGUUAGAACGCUAGUUCUAAUGGAGCCGUCCUUGAAAUACCACCCUGGUAAUGUUGAGGUUCUAACUCUGCCCCGUAAUCCGGGGCGAGGACCAUGUCUGGUGGGUAGUUUGACUGGGGCGGUCUCCUCCUAAAGAGUAACGGAGGAGUACGAAGGUGCGCUCAGCGUGGUCGGAAAUCACGCGUAGAGUAUAAAGGCAAAAGCGCGCUUAACUGCGAGACCCACAAGUCGAGCAGGUACGAAAGUAGGUCUUAGUGAUCCGGUGGUUCUGUAUGGAAGGGCCAUCGCUCAACGGAUAAAAGGUACUCUGGGGAUAACAGGCUGAUACCGCCCAAGAGUUCAUAUCGACGGCGGUGUUUGGCACCUCGAUGUCGGCUCAUCUCAUCCUGGGGCUGAAGCAGGUCCCAAGGGUAUGGCUGUUCGCCAUUUAAAGAGGUACGCGAGCUGGGUUUAGAACGUCGUGAGACAGUUCGGUCCCUAUCUACCGUGGGCGCUGGAAAUUUGAGAGGAUCUGCUCCUAGUACGAGAGGACCAGAGUGGACGAACCUCUGGUGUACCGGUUGUGACGCCAGUCGCAUCGCCGGGUAGCUAUGUUCGGAAGGGAUAACCGCUGAAAGCAUCUAAGCGGGAAGCCUACCUCAAGAUAAGAUUUCCCUAGGAAUUUAUUCCUCUAAAGAGCCGUUCGAGACUAGGACGUUGA